rnacentral:rRNA from 1 species
AUUGAACGCUGGCGGCAUGCCUUACACAUGCAAGUCGAACGGUAAUGCGGGGCAACCUGGCGACGAGUGGCGAACGGGUGAGUAAUGCAUCGGAACGUGCCCAGUAGUGGGGGAUAGCCCGGCGAAAGCCGGAUUAAUACCGCAUACGACCUACGGGUGAAAGCGGGGGACCGUAAGGCCUCGCGCUAUUGGAGCGGUCGAUGUCAGAUUAGGUUGUUGGUGGGGUAAAAGCCUACCAAGCCGACGAUCUGUAGCUGGUCUGAGAGGACGACCAGCCACACUGGGACUGAGACACGGCCCAGACUCUUACGGGAGGCAGCAGUGGGGAAUUUUGGACAAUGGGGGCAACCCUGAUCCAGCCAUGCCGCGUGCGGGAAGAAGGCCUUCGGGUUGUAAACCGCUUUUGUCAGGGAAGUAACGCUCUGGGCUAAUACCCCGGGGUAAUGACGGUACCUGAAGAAUAAGCACCGGCUAGCUACGUGCCAGCCGCCGCCGUAACAC